GUAUUCCAAUAAAGGCCUUGCGGCACAAUCACGUUCAAUAUUGUAAAGGUAGUGUAUAUGAAAGGAGGGAAAAACCCUAAGAAAAACACCAACAAUAGGCGAUUAAACUCAGAGACCCUCUCUCCCCCCGAAAUGUGCACAAGUGGUGUUUGGGUAAAGAUUGUUAGGAGCGAGCACAUACAGCCAAGCUGCCAGCAUCAACUCCGAUUACAAUUCAUUAAUGAUCCUUCCGCAGGUUCACCUACGGAAA
rnacentral:misc_RNA from 1 species